rnacentral:rRNA from 1 species
UACAGAGGGUGCGAGCGUUGUUCGGAAUUAUUGGGCGUAAAGCGCGCGCAGGCGGGUUGGUAAGUCGGAUGUGAAAGCCCUCGGCUCAACCGAGGAAGUGCGUUCGAAACUACUGUUCUUGAGUGUCGGAGAGGGUGGCGGAAUUCCCGGUGUAGAAGUGAAAUUCGUAGAUAUCGGGAGGAACACCAGAGGCGAAGGCGGCCACCUGGACGAACACUGACGCUGAGGCGCGAAAGCGUGGGGAGCAAACAGG